rnacentral:lncRNA from 15 species
AGAAUGAUGUUUGUUUGACACUAGAAGGAUGUUUUCACAUUCCUGGUCCAGUAUGCAACUUAUACAAGUGUGAUAGAAACCUGAAGGGGAGAAUGGACUUUACAGGGAAGUAGGGGACAUCUCCAGCAGGAAAACUUUAGAAAUGAACAACAUUUUCAUAUUCUAACUCUUUAGUCCACCCAGACAUUUUCUAUUUUUGUCUUCUCUUGUCUAUGUUUUAUUUAUUGUCUAUGUUCUACCCUGGGUCUGAGAGAGAAAAUUAUUUCAAUGAUAUACAUUCCUUAUGGCUAGAAAUACAAAAUAAUCUUCCUGACUUUUAUUUAUUAAAAUGUACACGGCAUCAAUAGCUGUUACCCAUCGACUGGAGAACAGUGUGCGAGCUAGCAGCCUACUGACAAUUGCAAUUAAGUACACACACGACAAACUCUACUCACUGUAACACAUAUCCAACGCACCCCUUCACCUUUGCAUGGCAGGCUGUUUGAGCGCUGGUUGCGUUGCUGCUGCAUUGCUCAGUUGCAAAACGCGUGCUAAAAACAAUUAUCAGUAACUAAACAGCGUUUCAUUAGCAGGUUAACCUAACAACAGUCCGAUCCCGUCGAUUAUGGAAGGCAAAAUAACGUAUUUGCACCAUGUUUGUCACUCUGUUUGAGGGCCACGCAUCGUGUUAGGCGCACAGGUGGAGUUCAGAUCGAGUAUCCUCACCUGCAGCACUUGGGGUCACACUCCUUCCCUUCUUUCUCAGACACUGAAGAACAGCUGCUUCACCUGUCCAAGAUAUGCACACAGUGAGACAGUUCUGCAAGGUGUGUGGUGUGAAUUUAACCAUAAAGAGAUCUGUGGAAUCCUGGAUAAGACCCCAAAUACUCAGGAAUCAUCACAGGUCAGAAAACCUGACUCUUUGGUCUCAUUAACAGCAUCAGUCUUUCCGUUGUCUUUCUCAUUAAGCUCAGCAGACUGGAAGGGCCUGUCACUUCCUAUAUUGUCUGGCUGACAUUUUGUUUUUCAGCAGAUCAUUUUUUUUUUUCUUCUGUUAACUGAAAUUGGAUUGGACACGAGUCAGGACUGGAGUUAUACUGGUGCCAAC